rnacentral:rRNA from 1 species
UACGUAGGGGGCAAGCGUUGUCCGGAAUCAUUGGGCGUAAAGCGCGUGUAGGCGGCUCGAUAAGUCUGCUGUGAAAGUCCAGGCUCAACCCUGGGAUGCCGGUGGAUACUGUCGAGCUCGAGUCCGGAAGAGGCGAGUGGAAUUCCUGGUGUAGCGGUGAAAUGCGCAGAUAUCAGGAGGAACACCAACGGCGAAGGCAGCUCGCUAGGACGGUACUGACGCUGAGACGCGAAAGCGUGGGGAGCGAACAGG